rnacentral:rRNA from 1 species
AAACUCGCCUACAUGAAGCUGGAGUUACUAGUAAUCGCAGAUCAGAAUGCUGCGGUGAAUGCGUUCCCGGGUCUUGUACACACCGCCCGUCACACCACGGAAGUUGGGGGCGCCCGAAGCCACUUAGCUAACCCUUUUGGGAAGCGAGUGUCGAAGGUGAAAUCAAUAACUGGGGUGAAGUCGUAACAAGGUAAC